rnacentral:rRNA from 1 species
AGUAACGCGUGGGUACCUGCCUCAUACAGGGGGAUAACAGUUAGAAAUGACUGCUAAUACCGCAUAAGCGCACAGUGCUGCAUGGCACAGUGUGAAAAACUCCGGUGGUAUGAGAUGGACCCGCGUCUGAUUAGCUAGUUGGUGGGGUAACGGCCUACCAAGGCGACGAUCAGUAGCCGGCCUGAGAGGGUGAACGGCCACAUUGGGACUGAGACACGGCCCAA